GGCAGUUUUUUAAGUUAUAUAGUGACGAUCGUAGUAUAUAAACAAGCCAUCGCGUUAUCCAUAUUUCGGAACUUUUUAAAACCGGUGGUAAUCGUUAGUGACACGGGAGGUGCUGAAUGAAGAUGUAAAAAGAAGGCUAGACUAUUAAUAAAUUUCGGGUGUAAUGUUGGUAUUAACAAGGAGUCAAAAGAAUGGCCCUUCUGCUUUCAUCUCUCAAGGAUGGUGUCACUAAGUAGUCCUUCUGUUGCUUUGAAGAUAUUAGCUUUAUAAUUAGCAGGCAGUGCCAGUUUCCAAAGGAGUUAUCUCAACUACUUCCAUUAUGCUUAGAACUGCUUUACUUGUCUUAAGAGCUGGUUUAAUUAUGCUCUUGUUACUCUUCCAACCUAUUCUAUUCUGCA